AACGGCCGUACCAUGCUGAAUAUACCGGUUCUCGUUAGAUCACCGAAGUCAAGCAUCAUUGGGCGUGGUCAGUACUUGGAUGGGUGACCACCUGGGAACCACGCGUGCCGUU
rnacentral:rRNA from 1 species